rnacentral:rRNA from 1 species
CCUACGGGAGGCAGCAGUGAGGAAUAUUGGUCAAUGGACGAGAGUCUGAACCAGCCAAGUAGCGUGAAGGAUGACUGCCCUCUGGGUUGUAAACUUCUUUUAUAAAGGAAUAAAACGAGGCACGUGUGCCUUUUUGCAUGUACUUUAUGAAUAAGGAUCGGCUAACUCCGUGCCAGCAGCCGCGGUAAUACGGAGGAUCCGAGCGUUAUCCGGAUUUAUUGGGUUUAAAGGGAGCGUAGAUGGGUUGUUAAGUCAGUUGUGAAAGUUUGCGGCUCAACCGGAAAAUUGCAAUUGAUACUGGCAGUCUAGAGUACAGGUGAGGUAGGCGGAAUUCGUGGUGUAGCGGUGAAAUGCUUAGAUAUCACGAAGAACCCCGAUUGCGAAGGCAGCUUACUAAACUGUGACUGACAUUGAUGCUCGAAAGUGUGGGUAUCAAACAGGAUUAGAUACCCGGGUAGUC